UUAAGUAGGUAGCGAUCGCUCUAAAUAUGACCUGGUCAUAUUUGGAGAGGAAAGUCCGAACACUCCCUCAUUUUAAUGAGGAGCCGGGUAGCAGGUAACUCCUGUCCAGCCGUCGCUUCGCAACGGAAGCACCAAAUUCUAAGCACCAAGCACCAAACAAAUUAUAAAUUCUAAAUUCUAAAUUCUAAACGUUUUGAAUUUGGGUCAUUAGAAUUUCGGUAUUGUUUGGGAUUUGGAAUUUGGGAUUUGGAAUUUCCGCUGCGGAGCAGCGGUUAAGAGGUGCGAACAGAGACGCUUAAACCUGAAAAGGUAAAAGCACCCCUUGGGGUGAGCUCUAAAAGAAAUUUUAGAGGUGAAACGGCUAAACCCUUACCUGAGUGAAAGGCCAAACAAAAAAUCCCUGAACUUCAAAAUUCAAGGAUGGUAGGCCGUUCGAGUCUAGCUGCAAAGCUAAACCUAGAUAAAUGAUCGCGCUCUCACGAGUAACAGAAUUCGGCUUAUUGCCUACUUAAGUUU
rnacentral:RNase_P_RNA from 1 species